rnacentral:lncRNA from 1 species
CCGGAGCAUAUGCAAGGUAGAGAGCGCUUAAUCAAGAAUCGAUGCAAUACACAAGGUCGUUAACGAUGUAAACGUUUUGAAACAGUGACCGCUGUGGCUGGUUUCUGAUUGAUGCUUUAAGAUUGGUGCUGUGGGUGCUCUCUGUAUGAUUGCCAGCGGUUGGCUGGUCGACAGUGGGUGGGAGCAGCGGUGGUGAUGGCGAGCAACUCCGACGAUGCUCC